AUAGAAGGUCCUGGAGGAAGCUUUUGUGAACACAAAGGAAACUGUCCAUAGAAGGGCUUUUUACAGUAGUCCCAUGAAGAGAGGUUCUGAGGAGUUAGAGCAGGAUUCAACUUGGUGUCCUAAAGUCUACAUGUCUUCAAGCUUUAUACAAGCUCCAGCCUUCCUUCCAUCCACUCCCUCAUAGCCAGACCCUCAACCACCCAUGGAUGCUGAGACCCUAUAGACACCGCAGUCCGCUAUGCAGCCCUGGUCAUGAAAGCGGGACUACGAGGAGAUGAGGGAUCUCAUCUCCAUCAGUGGGGAGGAGAAGAUCCAGCACCAGCUAUACAAAGGGCACUGCAACAAGGAUGUCUUCAAGCACAUUGCCCAGCAAACGCAGGCACAGAACCACAACAGGGCAUUGCUGUGCUAAGACCAAAUGGAAGAAGAUCCAAUAUAGGUGUGUACAUGAUGCCAACAAAAAGCCAGGGCCAGGAGACAGACCAUGCCCUUCUAUGAGGAGCUGUUCUGCUUCCUCACCAUGGACAGGGCUGUCAAGACCUUGCAUACCUACAGUACCAUUGAGGAGCAGAAAGAGUUGUUGGCAGGGACCCCACUGGAGGAGGAGGAACAGGAAGGCUCUGGGAUGAUGGCACAACCAGGUCUCUGGGUGCCAUAGGGCAAGAGGUCAGGUGAUGGUGAUGGCCCCCAAGGAGUCCACCCCAUUGUUGCUUGUCCCUGAAUCAUUACAGGAUGUGGGAGCUGAGUUGUACCUGCAGCUGGACCUGAGCUCCCUUGACAUCUUCUUAGGCAUGGUCAAGAGCAGGAAGCAUUGCACACAGGAGCAGGGGGAAGCUCCAAUGCCACAGCAAUUCAGACCAACACCUCACUGCCCUGCUUCCAGAAGCACGGUGUCCCCCAGCCCUGCCACUACCAGCACAGCGGCUGCUGCUUCAACACGACAUGCAAGACCCAUGGCCAGCCUCCCCCGCUGCACUUCUGCUGAUCGAGCAUGUCAUGCUGUCUGGGAUGUAUGGUUCAGCCCCCACUCCAUGAAGCCAUGAUGGGGACCCAGGCAAUGGGGGAAAUGCAAAGUGUCUGAGGGGAAGGAAGGGGAAUGAGGGGACCCGCAUCCCUGUAGUCACAGCCCUCUUUCAGGCCAUUGUGGCACAGAAACCCAGAAGGGAUUGCGGGUGGGAUAGUGCAUGGAUGGAGGGGUGUGGGGAAGACUGUGAAUUGCCUUACCCUGGCUGCUCAAAGUGCAGGGCUCCAGGCUGCGAAAUGCUCAAGAGGUUUCUAUCUUUCAACACUGGGCAGACCAGUAACCUCCUCCCCUCCCACUUUCCCGCCCUACCUCCUAUGCUGGACCACAGCCAAGAUGCCAGGCUGGCCACCCCAGGUCUUGGGCUGUUAGCAAUCUAUCUUCUAUUCAAUGGGAACAUAAAUCAGCCUAAUUCACACCUUCAUGU